UACGUAGGGUGCAAGCGUUAAUCGGAAUUACUGGGCGUAAAGCGUGCGCAGGCGGUUUUGUAAGUCAGAUGUGAAAAUCCCCGGGCUUAACCUGGGAACUGCGUUUGAAACUACAAGGCUAGAGUGUGGCAGAGGGGGGUGGAAUUCCACGUGUAGCAGUGAAAUGCGUAGAGAUGUGGAGGAACACCGAUGGCGAAGGCAGCCCCCUGGGUUAACA
rnacentral:rRNA from 1 species